GAAACGGCAUUUUAAAACACAACAGAGACCAUUAUGUAAUUCAGGUACGCCUAGGGUUGCCUUAACGACAAAGGUUUUAGUUCAUUGCCAACACCCAUCUACACUAGAAAGGGAAUCCUCCCUUCAGUGGAAUGUACCAAACCACUGAACCUGACACAGGUUGUAAACUGCUCAGUUGUUGGACAAUCAAAUUUGUAAAUGGUUGAAAUCGCUGUCCAGGGGAAGGCUGGGUUGUCUCUUGGUUGAAAACUUAAAUAAGACCUUAAAGCAAAGCAGAGAGGGAUCAUAUAUCUUCUGCAUCUUGUGCACCUAUAUGAGCUCGAACCGAUCAAAGACCUGAACAAACAUCCACCCUUGACAUUCAGACAAGGGGUGUAGACCGCCACCACAAGACCUUAGUGUCGUCCAAUCAGAUGUCUGCCGAGGUCAGCAUGUUUCUGCCAAUCAGGAAUGAAGCGGAAGGUGCUGAUGAAGGAUCAGGAAGCUUAGAAAAUGGUCCUUAAUG